rnacentral:rRNA from 1 species
UUUAUGGAGAGUUUGAUCCUGGCUCAGGAUGAACGCUGGCGGCGUGCCUAAUACAUGCAAGUCGAGCGAACGGACGAGAAGCUUGCUUCUCUGAUGUUAGCGGCGGACGGGUGAGUAACACGUGGAUAACCUACCUAUAAGACUGGGAUAACUUCGGGAAACCGGAGCUAAUACCGGAUAAUAUUUUGAACCGCAUGGUUCAAAAGUAAAAGACGGUCUUGCUGUCACUUAUAGAUGGAUCCGCGCUGCAUUAGCUAGUUGGUAAGGUAACGGCUUACCAAGGCAACGAUGCAUAGCCGACCUGAGAGGGUGAUCGGCCACACUGGAACUGAGACACGGUCCAGACUCCUACGGGAGGCAGCAGUAGGGAAUCUUCCGCAAUGGGCGAAAGCCUGACGGAGCAACGCCGCGUGAGUGAUGAAGGUCUUCGGAUCGUAAAACUCUGUUAUUAGGGAAGAACAUAUGUGUAAGUAACUGUGCACAUCUUGACGGUACCUAAUCAGAAAGCCACGGCUAACUACGUGCCAGCAGCCGCGGUAAUACGUAGGUGGCAAGCGUUAUCCGGAAUUAUUGGGCGUAAAGCGCGCGUAGGCGGUUUUUUAAGUCUGAUGUGAAAGCCCACGGCUCAACCGUGGAGGGUCAUUGGAAACUGGAAAACUUGAGUGCAGAAGAGGAAAGUGGAAUUCCAUGUGUAGCGGUGAAAUGCGCAGAGAUAUGGAGGAACACCAGUGGCGAAGGCGACUUUCUGGUCUGUAACUGACGCUGAUGUGCGAAAGCGUGGGGAUCAAACAGGAUUAGAUACCCUGGUAGUCCACGCCGUAAACGAUGAGUGCUAAGUGUUAGGGGGUUUCCGCCCCUUAGUGCUGCAGCUAACGCAUUAAGCACUCCGCCUGGGGAGUACGACCGCAAGGUUGAAACUCAAAGGAAUUGACGGGGACCCGCACAAGCGGUGGAGCAUGUGGUUUAAUUCGAAGCAACGCGAAGAACCUUACCAAAUCUUGACAUCCUUUGACAACUCUAGAGAUAGAGCUUUCCCCUUCGGGGGACAAAGUGACAGGUGGUGCAUGGUUGUCGUCAGCUCGUGUCGUGAGAUGUUGGGUUAAGUCCCGCAACGAGCGCAACCCUUAAGCUUAGUUGCCAUCAUUAAGUUGGGCACUCUAAGUUGACUGCCGGUGACAAACCGGAGGAAGGUGGGGAUGACGUCAAAUCAUCAUGCCCCUUAUGAUUUGGGCUACACACGUGCUACAAUGGACAAUACAAAGGGCAGCGAAACCGCGAGGUCAAGCAAAUCCCAUAAAGUUGUUCUCAGUUCGGAUUGUAGUCUGCAACUCGACUACAUGAAGCUGGAAUCGCUAGUAAUCGUAGAUCAGCAUGCUACGGUGAAUACGUUCCCGGGUCUUGUACACACCGCCCGUCACACCACGAGAGUUUGUAACACCCGAAGCCGGUGGAGUAACCUUUUAGGAGCUAGCCGUCGAAGGUGGGACAAAUGAUUGGGGUGAAGUCGUAACAAGGUAGCCGUAUCGGAAGGUGCGGCUGGAUCACCUCCUUU